UUCCCAGUGAUGAACAUUUUAGUAAUCUGGAACGGUGAUAAAAUGGGGCUCCCUCUUGGAUUAUUUCCGUGGAGGUUUUAGAGGAACCAUUGUUGAAGAUACUUGGCAACUUCUGAGGGUCUCUUCGCAAAAUGAAAUCUGUUAUUUUUCUUACUGUUUUGUUGGGAUUCUGAAACAUUGC
rnacentral:sRNA from 1 species